rnacentral:rRNA from 1 species
UACGUAGGCAGCGAGCGUUGUUCGGAGUUACUGGGCGUAAAGGGUGCGUAGGCGGGUCUUUUAAGUCAGGGGUGAAAUCCUGGAGCUCAACUCCAGAACUGCCUUUGAUACUGAAGAUCUUGAGUUCGGGAGAGGUGAGUGGAACUGCGAGUGUAGAGGUGAAAUUCGUAGAUAUUCGCAAGAACACCAGUGGCGAAGGCGGCUCACUGGCCCGAUACUGACGCUGAGGCACGAAAGCGUGGGGAGCAAACAGG